rnacentral:misc_RNA from 1 species
GAAAUGCGAUAAUUAAUGUGAAUUGCAGAAUUCAGUGAAUCAUCGAGUCUUUGAACGCACAUUGCGCCCCCUGGUAUUCCGGGGGGCAUGCCUGUCCGAGCGUCAUUGCUGCCCUCAAGCACGGCUUGUGUGUUGGGCUUCCGUCCCUGGCAACGGGGACGGGCCCAAAAGGCAGUGGCGGCACCAUGUCUGGUCCUCGAGCGUAUGGGGCUUUGUCACCCGCUCCCGUAGGUCCAGCUGGCAGCUAGCCUCGCAACCAAUCUUUUUAACCAGUUGACCUCGGAUCAGGUAGGGAUACCCGCUGAACUUAAGC